GACGAACGCUGGCGGCGUGCUUAACACAUGCAAGUCGAACGGAAAGGCCCUGCUUUUGUGGGGUGCUCGAGUGGCGAACGGGUGAGUAACACGUGAGUAACCUUCCCUUGACUUUGGGAUAACUUCAGGAAACUGGGGCUAAUACCUGAUAGGAGCUCCUGCUGCAUGGUGGGGUUUGGAAAGUUUCGGCGGUUGGGGAUGGACUCGCGGCUUAUCAGCUUGUUGGUGGGGUAGUGGCUUACCAAGGCUUUGACGGGUAGCCGGCCUGAGAGGGUGACCGGCCACAUGGGGACUGAGAUACGGAGCAGACUCCUACGGGAGGCAGCAGUGGGGAAUAUUGCACAAUGGGCGGAAGCCUGAUGCAGCAACGCCGCGUGCGGGAUGACGGCCUUCGGGUUGUAAACCGCUUUAGCCUGUGACGAAGCGUGAGUGACGGUAAUGGGUAAAGAAGCACCGGCUAACUACGUG
rnacentral:rRNA from 1 species